rnacentral:rRNA from 1 species
UACAGAGGUCCCAAGCGUUGUUCGGAUUCACUGGGCGUAAAGGGUGCGUAGGUGGUGAGGUAAGUCGGAUGUGAAAGCUCGGAGCUCAACUCCGAAAUGGCAUUGGAAACUACCUUGCUCGAGGGUUGGAGGGGGGACUGGAAUGCUUGGUGUAGCAGUGAAAUGCGUAGAUAUCAAGCGGAACACCAGUGGCGAAGGCGAGUCCCUGGACAACUCCUGACACUGAGGCACGAAAGCGAGGGGAGCAAACAGG